AACGAACGCUGGCGGCAGGCUUAACACAUGCAAGUCGAGCGCCCCGCAAGGGGAGCGGCAGACGGGUGAGUAACGCGUGGGAAUCUACCCAUCCAUACGAAACAACUCCGGGAAACUGGAGCUAAUACCGUAUACGCCCUUCGGGGGAAAGAUUUAUCGGGGAUGGAUGAGCCCGCGUUGGAUUAGCUAGUUGGUGGGGUAAUGGCCUACCAAGGCGACGAUCCAUAGCUGGUCUGAGAGGAUGAUCAGCCACACUGGGACUGGGACACGGCCCAGACUCCUACGGGAGGCAGCAGUGGGGAAUAUUGGACAAUGGGCGCAAGCCUGAUCCAGCCAUGCCGCGUGAGUGAUGAAGGCCCUAGGGUUGUAAAGCUCUUUCAACGGUGAAGAUAAUGACGGUAACCGUAGAAGAAGCCCCGGCUAACUUCGUGCCAGCCGCCGCCGUAAGAC
rnacentral:rRNA from 1 species